rnacentral:rRNA from 1 species
AGUCGAGCGGUAACAGGAAUUAGCUUGCUAAUUUGCUGACGAGCGGCGGACGGGUGAGUAACGCGUAGGAAUCUGCCUGGUAGUGGGGGACAACAUGUGGAAACGCAUGCUAAUACCGCAUACGCCCUACGGGGGAAAGGAGGGGAUCUUCGGACCUUUCGCUAUCAGAUGAGCCUGCGUGAGAUUAGCUAGUUGGUGGGGUAAAGGCUCACCAAGGCGACGAUCUCUAGCUGGUCUGAGAGGAUGAUCAGCCACACUGGGACUGAGACACGGCCCAGACUCCUACGGGAGGCAGCAGUGGGGAAUAUUGGACAAUGGGCGCAAGCCUGAUCCAGCCAUGCCGCGUGUGUGAAGAAGGCCUUCGGGUUGUAAAGCACUUUCAGAAGUGAGGAAGGGUGUGUAGUUAAUACCUACAUAUCUUGACGUUAGCUUCAGAAGAAGCACCGGCUAACUCUGUGCCAGCAGCCGCGGUAAUACAGAGGGUGCGAGCGUUAAUCGGAAUUACUGGGCGUAAAGCGCGCGUAGGCGGCUAAGUCAGUCAGAAGUGAAAGCCCCGGGCUCAACCUGGGAAUUGCUUUUGAUACUGCUUGGCUAGAGUUUGGUAGAGGAUAGUGGAAUUCCAGGUGUAGCGGUGAAAUGCGUAGAUAUCUGGAGGAACAUCAGUGGCGAAGGCGACUGUCUGGACCAAAACUGACGCUGAGGUGCGAGAGCGUGGGUAGCAAACAGGAUUAGAUACCCUGGUAGUCCACGCCGUAAACGAUGUCAACUAGCCGUCGGGUCUAUUUACAGACUUGGUGGCGCAGCU